rnacentral:lncRNA from 1 species
AAUAUCAAUAAUGUGAAAUUUGUACUUUUGUUUGGUAGAUGUUAAAAUUCAGAUUUUAAUAUAAAUCACAAUUAAAAUAAAUAAUAAUGCUUCUUUCAGCUGCCGCAAUAAACACACCCCAUCACAGAAAUCCUUACAACAAAUAAAUAAAUAAGAAAAAGGCUUGAAAUAAUAAAAGUAAAUUCCUGUAGUGAUUCAGGUCUUUCAUUCACCGAAACUUCCUCUGAUUUUCCUCUCAUCGCCCUCAGUUCUAGUCUCAUUGGUUAGUUACAAUAUUUCUAAUACCUGUAUGUAGAUUAUUAAUCACUUGUGUUGUAAUUAUUUAACGUUUCGACAAUUAUUCUCG